rnacentral:rRNA from 1 species
AAAGUUCGUAGGUGACCUGCGGAGGAUC